CAAAUCAGCAAUCCAACCAAAAAAAGCACAAAAUCACAAAAAAAAAAAAAAGGAAAAAAGAAUGCAGGCUCUGACCCUGAGCAAGAGGCUCUCUACAUCCAAGCCUCUCUUCAGAAUCUCUCCUAACUUCAUCGUUCAAUCAUCAACCACCUCCUCCUCUUCCACCACCUCUCCGCCACCUUCGUCACCGAUCACCGCCGCAGAUGGCGGCUCCUCCUGCCAUCCCUUGGCUCUCCUCAGCUUACUCCGCAUUCCCAGGUCCGCUACCCAAAGCCUCCGAAUUGGUGUCUCCGGAUCUGACCUUAGAGAUGCGAAUCUCGCUGGAGGCCAAGUGCGCGCUUAUGAGGUUCUGAAACUUUAUCGCCCCUGUUACAGAACCGGAAUAGCAACUUUCAAGGUUCAGCCUCACGGUGCAGCUGGUUAUGCAACUGCUACUACUACUGGCGAUAGCAUCCAGAGGUCUGGUUUGAUUACUUUAACCAUUGUUCGGCAUGUAUAUAGGAAGGAGCGAUACAGUGGAUUGAGGAGUGUAGGUCCGAAGACAAAGAGAGAGCAGCUGCUAAAAGCCACUGCACUUGUCCCACUUCUUUUGAUAUUCCCGAACGCAUAUUCCAUGCUCGCAGCGAAUCUCUUUGUAUUCUGGCACAUAAGUGCUGGUAUUGAAGAGAUUUUGGCUGAUUAUGUCCACCAUGAGAUGACCCGAAAUUACGUCGUGAUUGCUUUCAAAUUGUUCCUGAUAAUUGCAAUGAAGGAUGUGUUCCUAAAAUUUGUAUUUGUAUAAUCAGAUAGCUCACUAAAAUUAUGCUUGCAUUUCUGCAUAAUAAGAGCCCGAUGGAGUGUUUAGCUAUAUAGUGAAAUGUUGGAAUUUAACAAUCAGAUUGGUAAAAUUUAUCUCGUAUAAAAUGUUAUUGAACUGUAUAACUUAACAAAGAUUACAUUUGGUUUAUAUAUGUUUUUAUAUUGUAGAA